UUCUUCCCAACUAAAAUCUAGAACCUUCAAAUAACCAUCCACGGAGUCUGAGAGUUAUAUGAUAAUCCCAUUGGCUUUGCUAGUACAUUCUUUUCAUGUUCUUCGGCUUAAUUAAGGUUGUUAGAGUUUAAUUGGUAUUUGAGUAGCUCAAUUCAGGGAUUGGAGGUAAGGUUUUUCACUUUUGUUAAGUGUCCUUUUGAUUUGCCGUUGCCAAGAAAGGAUAUGAAAUUAUACACAUGUGUGUGUAUUUUUAUAUUUAUUGUUUCAGCUAUUUCAAGUAAAACAUGUGUAUGUAGUUGAUCAACCAAAACUACUUUUGAAUUAGUAUUGUUUCUACCUUUGCAAUACUGCUUUAUAUAUAUAUGUGAACAAAUGCAAGAAAGGAUAUGAUAUUACUUUGGCUGCUAAUUGAUUAGUUUCAAAUGCAAGGAAGGAUGCAUUGUAUGAUGCACUUGAGAAAGAGCUUCUAGAAGAUGGCACAAGUAGGCAGAAGACAUCAACUGACUUUAAAAAUGAAGUUAAGAACUUGAGAUUGGCCUUUAUCGAUAUGUUUUUGAAGCACAGAACAUUGGCAAGGGAACUGCUGAGCCACUGUGACUUGGAUGCAAAGAAUAAAGCUGAGCUUAAACGUUUGAAGGAUUACUAUUUUCUGAAGGUGCAGAAUUCUCCGUCUUUUCUUGCACUUAUUUCUUUCUCCAAGAAGCAGCAUCGCAACUGCCCCUGGAGA